UAUAGCCAAUUGAGAAAAUCUGAUUCACACUAUAAAAUCAAAGGGAAGCUGUUAAGUAUGUGAAGCUGGUGAGUAAUUGGGCUAAAUAAGAAUUUUCCCCAGGUGAAAAUGGGGACCCGAACUGAAAAUGGAGGAAACCCACCUCCUGAGUCUUUGGUGAAAGAGUGAAGCUACAUUCCAGACUACGACUUUAUGACCUUUCUAUCACUUGGUAAGGAGUGAUCCCAAAAAGUGGCGUGAUCCUUGCAAGUGAGUAAGAUGCCUGCCUUCCUGGAGGCCCGGAGAAAUUGAGGGAGGGAAAGCGUCCUUCAAGAUGCGGCUUCCUUUUUGCAGAAGUGCUACUCUGUUGAAGUUUAUACAGAAUUGUCAGUUAAUGAAGUGUCGUCACAGACCACACUCUCAGCAGCAGCUCAAAACAGUUCAGGACAACACAGAAGAAGGGAAAAUAGAAGGAAUCACGCAAGGCAGUGGGACUAGGAAUCCCUUUUAAAGUUUCUCUAAAUCACUUAAAGUCAUCUAUCCUUCGUCAUGAGAAGAUACCUGUUGGAACAGAAGUAAAGGUAGAUGCAGAGCUCAGACAGCGCUUGAUCACGAGGCUUGCAGACAAUCACUUUCCCAUUCGCUGAGACAAUCAUCUCCUCAGUGAAUGUGAAAAAGCCAGAAAAAACUUCCUAUGGCCGCUCCUGACGUAGGAAGGGUUAAUAAUCACUGGAAAAGGCUUGCCAACAAACUGUGACCCGGAGGUCAGAAGGCCGGUUAGCCAAUGACAGAAAGUGGCUGUCUAUGCUGUAAAGAUAGAGAUUUUUGUUUCUAUGGAACUGAGAUUCAAGGGUGUCACAUAUGGUAAAUAGAACAUGUAUUUCAAAGUCUAAUUUGUGUGUUCAAAAUCAACUGAAUAUAUGUCAAAUCUGUGUAAGAAACAAGUGAAUUCAUAUGCAAUUGUAAUUUGAUAGAAUCUCUAUGAAUAAGAUCAGAUCCUCUGUAAACGGCAAGCUUAGGAGUUUUGUACUAUUAGCUGUAAGAGCCAAGCUGUUUUGGUGAUUUUAGUGGUCUUUAGCUCAUUUUGAGAAAAUAACACUUAGCAUCUUGUUCCACACUGUACCUCUAAAGCAUGUGAAGAUCAAGAGCGUAAAUAUCCAUUUCAUAGAUUUUUUAAAUUAAUUUGGUAUUAUUUUUGUUAUUUUCUCUACAUAGGUCACUGAGUUGCCAUAGCCAAUGGAAUUUUUCAGGUUGCAAAGGGCUUAUCACAAUUUUAUAUCUUUACUUUCUUGUAUUUAUUUCUAGUACUUGGGAAAACUAGUUUAAUAUGGACUGCAUGUGAUGUGGCUCUGGUCAUGGCCAAUGAGGGAACAGAAAAAGAUACAAAGGCAAUAUUUGGAAAAAGGGGAGAAAAAAAGUGGAAAAAUAUUUGACCCCUAUAAGGAAUAGUAAAAGUAUAACCAUCAGGAACUCUAAAUGUUUGGAGAGAAUAAAAUCAUAUAGAUCUGAAAAUGCGGACAUGAGAAAAAGUGCUAAUCUCAAGCAUGUUCAUGUAAAGUAAAGGUGUAGGCUCUUACAGUGCCUCAUGCUGAGCUAGUUAUGUGUGACCAUGUAUACGUUUAAGUUGAUUUAUUAAACCAAUUUCUUUAUCACUUCAUAAUAGCACACAAUAGUGGCAUUUUGAUGCAUCAUGCCUCUUCAGGGUAGCAACCUGAUGCUAGGCUCUAUCUUCACGGUGGAUUUUUCCCUGAUCAGAGUAAUCUUUGCACUUAAUGAAUUUCUCUUAUAACUGUCCUGUCUCAUGACAUGAAUAAGAGUUUAUGCUAUUUUAUGGUUUUCCACCAAGAUCCUUUUUAACCUUCGUUAUUGCAAAAGUACUUAUCUUGAGGAGUCAAAAUGGAAAAAAAGGAACCCUACAAAUUAUCUUGGAUAUUACAAUGUUGGGGGAGAGGCUGAUGUAAUAUAUCUCAGUGUCCCUUUCUUUGUGGUGGACAAAUACUAUUAACUUCCAUUCUGUGGAUAGGAAAAAAAAGUUCUGGAUUAUUGCUGUCAAUUUGUUUAAAAACAUAAUAUUCCAUGGGCCAUUAAGAAAUUGAGAAAUGUUGUGUUUUAUUUCCUUGCUGUGUUUAAGAGAAGUAUAUGAUAGAUCCAUUAAGGGAAGACUAUCAUAAUAAUAAUCAUAACCAUAAUCAUAAGUGACCAUCUUUGUAAAGUGAUUUAUUAUUGACUAAGAUUUUAUCUACAUGCUUGCAUUUACUGUUACUGGCAGGUGGAUAUAGUAUUGACCACAAAGCCUGAUGUCAUCUCUGGGAGUUGAAUUUUAUCUUAUAUAAAUGUCUAAGUAGUAUAUCUAUGUCUCAAGAUGUUUUGGUAAAAUUACACUUUUGUUCCUCUCUCACAACAUUAAUUUGAUGCUUUUAAUGUUUUCUUUUGUAUGCUUUAUUUAAUUUCCCUAAAUACUUUGAGGGUAUUUAUUGUCUUAUUAAUAUUAUUAUCUCUGCAUCAGUUUGUCCAGUGUCUAAAGGAUUGUUGGUGCUUAACAAAUAUGUAUUGAAUUUAAUUUAACUGAGUAGUAGCAUUUUCUUUGAGGGUAAGAUUUUGGAUAAUUUGAUGAGAAAAGCUUCGUGUUAAUUUCUCUUUGGAGGGGAGGGUCUCCAUCGGUAAAUUUUAUGAGAGUUUAAGGGAGGUAUUCAAUUGCCUAAAUCAGCUGAGAAAAUAGUAUCUAAAAUGAAUUAUUUUGUGUGGCAAGGACUCCCUAAAUAAAUAAGAAGAAAUUUGUUUUUUUCUUAUUUUUCUCCUUUAGAUAGCCACAUGAAGUGAACAAGGGGCCUCUCAUAAACUAUUCCAAUAGAGAAAAAGCCUAAUACUUUGAAAUAGUCUUUAGCCAGUGAAGCAUUCUUGCAACACAGGCAUCCUUCUGAGAAGAAUAAAGUAUUGCUUUCAAGUGGGUUAAUGAAGUCAACUGGCACUUAUAAUAUGCUAAGUCAAAUCAUUCUUUUCAACACUCUUUGCUAAUUCCAGAAUUUAAUUUUCAUGCAACUCUAAAAAUUUAACCACAUCAACUUGAGAUCUUAACCCUUCCUGAAAGAAAGAUGUUGUUAAUAAUGACUUUUCUAAAUAAAAUUGCUCAGGUUUAUCCUGAGACAUAUGUCAGUGGUGAUGCUGAGGUAUUAUAUACGUAUGCACACACACAUAUGUAAUAAGUUUGUGAAAAUAUAAAACAAAAUCAUAUUGAUAAUGGUGAUUAGAUAUGCUUUUUAAUGGUAUUUUGUAUGAUCACUCACCAGUUGGUGCAUUAUCUAGACAGGCUCACAAGGCUUUUAAUGGAAGUGAAAAAUGUCCUCCCUAAAACAUGAGCCUACCCCUAAGGAAGUAAAAUGAAUCUCAGUAUACACAAGAAUGGUUCAGCAAAUGCAAUAUG
rnacentral:lncRNA from 1 species